AUAUGAGAAGAACACGCGAAUAGGAAAGGCCACCUCCUGGGAUAACCCUUGAGGUCCUGCAAGAAUGGGAGGGAAACCAAAUCUGAUUACAUUGCCUUGUAUUUCACGACCUAAAUGGAGUCAACCUUUGAUGGGGCCUUUUGUACUUGGGAAGGUAACGAAUAGAUAAAUUGACCGCCUGGGGAGGCCGGAAGCCUGAAUAUAAAUUAAAUGAAUUGGGGGGGGCCCCAACCAGCGGUCGAUGAUGUUGAUUUAUAGGAUGCCGAGGGAAAAACCCUGCCCUUCCCUGGCAUAGUAGGAAUCCCGAAGGGAUUUGGCCGUUCUGGCAAGAGAACCCGAACCCCGGAUGGGCAUGGGCGUCUUCAGUUCUGAGAGGGAGAAGUAAGGUUAAGUACCGCAACGAGCCCAACCCUUGUCCUUAGUUGCUUCGAAAGGGCACUUUAAUGAGACUGCCGGUGACAAACCGGAGGAAGGUGGGGAUGACGUCAAGUCCUCAUGGCCCUUAUGGGUAGGGCUUCACACGUCAUACAAUGGUCGGGACAAAGGGUUGCCAAGCCGCGAGGGGGAGCCAAUCCCAGAAAACCGAUCGUAGUCCGGAUCGCAGUUUGCAAAUCGACUGCGUGAAGUCGGAAUCGCUAGUAAUCGCGAAUCAGCAUGUCGCGGUGAAUACGUUCCCGGGUCUUGUACACACCGCCCGUCACACCAUGGGAGUGGGUUUUUCCAGAAGUAGUUAGCCUAACCGCAAGGGGGGCGAUUACCACGGUAGGAUUCAUGACUGGGGGAAGUUGAUACAAGGU
rnacentral:rRNA from 1 species